ACUCUUCUCUUGAAGUUCUCGUUCAACUUUCAAGAGAGAGAGAAACAAAUCGACCGAUGGCGGGAAUGGCUGAAAUGCGGAGGAGACAAGGAGCAGACCAUUAGCUCCUCCUGCUAGAGUUUUUCCUCCUCCGCCUAGUGAUCGUGAGAAGACAUGUACUUUAUUGCUUCGGUUUUUCUAACAACGUUGGAGAACAUCAUAGCAAGGAGGAUUUUGCUGUGAGAGGCAAGGAGCCGAAAGACGGGGUUCAGAUUUAUACAUGGAAGGAUGCUACUCUUCACAAGUUAACUGAACUUGUAAGUUGAUAAGAUGUUGCACUGCUUUGCUUAUGAAUGUUGAAUGGGAAUUGGCAUGUCAUUGGUGAUAUCUGUGGCCUUAUACUUAGGAGCAGAUGCGCUCCCAAGGUUGCGAAGCAUCCAAUGCUUUUGCGUUGGGGUUUCCCAUCAGAAUGGGAUGGGAAAAGUGGACAAGGAGAUUAGAGUAUCAGAAUUGUAGCAAAUAUAUAACGUGUGCUUAUAUUUGCAUGUUCAGUUAUCUCAAGUUCUUAGAUAUAAGGUGUACUAUUACUUGAUAAAUUUUAAGAUUAUUAGCUUUGAUAAUUGAUACUCUGCAAUUGGAAGGUUGAAGCUAUUAUCUUUC